CGUACACUCCUACGGGAGGCAGCAGUGGGGAAUAUUGCACAAUGGGCGCAAGCCUGAUGCAGCCAUGCCGCGUGUAUGAAGAAGGCCUUCGGGUUGUAAAGUACUUUCAGCGGGGAGGAAGGCGAUAAGGUUAAUAACCUUGUCGAUUGACGUUACCCGCAGAAGAAGCACCGGCUAACUCCGUGCCAGCAGCCGCGGUAAUACGGAGGGUGCAAGCGUUAAUCGGAAUUACUGGGCGUAAAGCGCACGCAGGCGGUCUGUCAAGUCGGAUGUGAAAUCCCCGGGCUCAACCUGGGAACUGCAUUCGAAACUGGCAGGCUAGAGUCUUGUAGAGGGGGGUAGAAUUCCAGGUGUAGCGGUGAAAUGCGUAGAGAUCUGGAGGAAUACCGGUGGCGAAGGCGGCCCCCUGGACAAAGACUGACGCUCAGGUGCGAAAGCGUGGGGAGCAAACAGGAGUAGAAACCCGUGUAGUCCC
rnacentral:rRNA from 1 species